GACGUAGGGUGCAAGCGUUGUCCGGAAUUAUUGGGCGUAAAGAGUUCGUAGGCGGUUAUUUAAGUCUGGUGUUAAAGACGGGAGCUUAACUCCCGCAUGGCAUUGGAAACUGGAUGGCUAGAGUGUGGUAGAGGUCUCGGGAAUUCCAGGUGUAGCGGUGAAAUGCGUAGAUAUCUGGAGGAACACCGGUGGCGAAAGCGCGAGACUGGGCCAUAACUGACGCUGAGGAGCGAAAGCGUGGGGAGCGAACAGG
rnacentral:rRNA from 1 species